GACGAACGCUGGCGGCGUGCUUAACACAUGCAAGUCGAGCGGUAAGGCCCUUUCGGGGGUACACGAGCGGCGAACGGGUGAGUAACACGUGGGUGACCUGCCCUCAGCCUGNGANACNCGACGGGACGUAUAUCGGAUAUGACUCCAUGACGCAUGUUGUGGGGUGGAAAGCCUUGUGCGGCUGAGGAUGGGCCCGCGGCCUAUCAGCUUGUUGGUGGGGUGAUGGCCUACCAAGGCGACGACGGGUAGCCGGCCUGAGAGGGCGACCGGCCACACUGGGACUGAGACACGGCCCAGACUCCUACGGGAGGCAGCAGUGGGGAAUCUUGCGCAAUGGGCGAAAGCCUGACGCAGCGACGCCGCGUGAGGGAUGACGGCCUGG
rnacentral:rRNA from 1 species